rnacentral:rRNA from 1 species
UACGGAAGGUCCGGGCGUUAUCCGGAUUUAUUGGGCGUAAAGAGCAUGUAGGCGGUUUUUUAAGUCCGGAGUGAAAAUGCGGGGCUCAACCCCGGGACUGCUUUGGAAACUGUUAGGCUGGAGUGCAGGAGAGGUAAGUGGAAUUCCUAGUGUAGCGGUGAAAUGCGUAGAUAUUAGGAGGAACACCAGUGGCGAAGGCGGCUUACUGGACUGUAACUGACGUUGAGGCUCGAAAGCGUGGGGAGCAAACAGG